rfam:Oryza rufipogon genomic scaffold, chr09
CAAAAAAACAAACUCUAAUUUUCGUGUCCAAUGUUUAACUGUCCGUUUUAUUUAAAAAAAAUAUGAAAAAAAUUAAAAAGAUAAGUCACGCAUAAAAUAUUCAUCAUGUUUUAUUAUCUAACAACAAUAAAAAUACUAAUUAUAAAAAAAUUUCAUAUAAGACGAACAGUCAAACGUUGGCACGUAAAUUCGCGGUUUGUCUUUUU